ensembl:lincRNA Gm26530 predicted gene, 26530
AGGGUAUGAACAACAAUUUAUUUAUAACGUUAGGGUAUGAUGUUAAUAUUGAAGUUGACUAUUACACAUAUUCAUUACAUUUGAUCGUUCACUGUCUGUAUCUUGGGAGAUAUCCCACGAGCUUAACAUGAUGGAGCAUUCUGAGCAACUGACAGUGCCAACCUCCAUCUCCAAAGAGUCAAGUCCUGUGGUAGCUGAUGUCUCACUCACUGUGUUGCAGCAUGCAUGGGCUAAGUCAGUGCAACAAGGAGGUAGAGCGUACGUGAACACCCUAGAGGUGUGGAUUUGCCAUCCCAAUUCCUUCACACUCGAUGAUGUAAGUGUCCUUAGUGGCAUCCUCUUCCUCUUCUGAUUUCUUCACGGUAAAUUUGGCCUGAAAAUGGAACAGUAGUAAGUGAAUACACAUGCGAGGACGGAGGGCGAUCCUAGGAUGGAAGUUAAGGAGACAGAGUUAAUAUCAAACUCAUCUGAAAAAGGUAUACACAUAAAAAUCAAGAGAUAUGUGAAGAAAUGCAACCCUUCUUUCAUGCUGGGAUCACUGUUGUGGAGUCUGUCAGGACAGAGAAUCAGGCUCCACUCCACGCCCACUGACUGGGGACAGGAGACAUGUGGGAGCAGGGGACAUGUGGGACAGGGGACAUGUGCAGCCAAGUCAGAUGUAGAUUCUGAAGCAUCGCCUGUUGCUGGCGAAAAGGCAUCAUUUCUCUUCCCUUUUGUUUUUCUAAAACAUGUAUCUGAACCAUUUACCUGUCAGGUAUGACAUUAUUUGCUCUCAUUAAAUUUUUCCUGCCAAUUUAAUUCUCUAAAUACAUAAUUCAGGAAGCAUGCUCAGAAAGGAUAGGUAGGGCGGAGGAGUGGCGGUGACUAAUGCCCUUCAGCACCGAGCCUAACACUGUAGUUCUCGCUUAUUAGCUAAAGUAGCUAUGAAAUACGUGAUCUUUGUCGAUGCUCUGGAAGUGCCAUUUUAAAGGCAAAGGCUGAUCCUUUCAACAAAAUAAUUUAAGUCAAAACAACUACAUAGGUUUAAGAUUCUGAGAAAGGGAUUUCAAGUAUGCCUUAGCUUCUAGGAGUCUCUAAAGUACAAUCUGACACCAUUACUCUGUGGCCUUCCUGACCAGCAGUGGUCACAAGCUUUCAAUUUCCAUACAUGGAACAGUGCGCUGUGUAAGUGGACAUCUCAAAAUCACUGUGCCAUGACAAACCAGAACACAGAGCAAAGGAGCCAUACUUCUGUAUAGUUAUUUGUCUGCAGUUUCAAAUUACAAACAUGAAAAUAUAAAACACAAGCAGGAGACUGGGAGCCAUUUCACGUUUAUGCUUAGGCCUACUGAGGGAGCCUAAAAGAUGGUCCAGCUGAAGUCUCUGAUUUUUACAGAUGAGCUAUUUGUAAUGAAGCACAGAAAAUAAAGAUACUAUGGCAUAAGUCACCCAGCAAAGUACAACAAAGAGCCAGGUGUAGGUGGUACAGACCUGUAAGCCCAGCACGCACAGGGCUGAGGUAGAAAAAUCUUGAGUUUGAAGCCAGCCUAGACUACACUUAGUAAGACCCCUUUUCAGCUACUCCCCUGCCUCUGACCUACAUACACAGUUAAAUAAGAAACAAGGGUCAUAACCCCAGUUCAGGAAACUUUCUGUUGUGUACUCUCUUCAAGUAAUAUGUAAGUGGCUACAAAUAUACAAAGUAUUGUAAAACUGUAGGCUACAAUGAAUAAAGCUUUGUACCAAUUAGCAAGGACGCUAAUCUAUGAGAGAGAAAACAACUGUAAACACAGCAUAAGUAGAAAUGAAAGUAACUGAAGGGGGCUGAAAGGACGGCUAAGCACUUAAGAGCACUGGCUGUUCUUACAGAGGACCCAGAUCCAAUCCCAGCACCUACACGGAGGCUCACAAUCACUUACAACUCCAGUUCCAGGGGAGUAGACAUUCUCUUCUGGCUUUUCAGAGAACCAGGCACAAAUAUGGUACACAGACAUAAAUGUAGGCAAACCAUUCAUACAUAUAAAAUAAAAUAGAAAUAAAUGUAAAAAUAAUAGGGGGCUGGAGAGAUGGCUUAGUGGUUAAGAGCACCGACUGCUCUUCCAGAGGACCUGAGUUCAAUUCCUACAACCACACUGUAGCUCAUGAGCAUCUGUAAUGGGAUCUGAUGCCCUCUUCUGGUGUGUCCGAAGAGACUGACAGUGUACUCACAUACAUAAAAUAAGUAAAUCUUAAAAAUAAUAAUAGGAUAAAGCUCAUUGAAAGCAUGGUUGCCCGACACACAAAAAUCAUUGGUUUGAUUUCCCAGGGCAAUAAACAACAACAACAACAGCAACAACGGGAAUCAAGGAUUUUAUAAAACAGUCAAUUCACGCCUGUCUUGGAUGUAAUCUAUCUUUGAUUCUCAUCAGGUUUCCUGAUUUAAGCAAGACCUUCCCAUUUCUUAUCCCAACAGCAACUAAGAAGAGCAGAGGCUGUGAACGUCCAGUGCAGAGGGAGAAGCAGGCAGAGGGAGAAGCAGGCAGAGGGAGAAGCAGGCAGAGGCUCUGUGUGAGCCAAGGCUGUGGUGCUUAAGCUCUCCUCAGCCAGAGAAUCACUUUUGUCAAGAGAAGGAGUGAGGAGGGCAUUUGAGACGGGGUCUUGCCAUAGAGCACUGGCUGGCGUUGAUCCCCUGACCCCAGGAGCCCCCAUCCUCCUGCUUCCACCUCCCAAGCAACAGAAGAUAAGAUUGCACCUCCAUGCUUAGCUCAUUAAGAAUACAGUCAUUCUCAUUCUCUCCCCCCCACUCCGAAUUAGUCCGCCUGCCUCUGCCUCUCAAGUGCUGGGUUUAAAGGUGUGCGCCACUAUAUGCCUUAGGGUAUGUGUGUGUGUGUGUGUGUGGUAGCUCCUGCUGCAUCUAAGAACUCCCUGUAGGCUGAGGCCAGAGGAUCACAAGUUCUCCUGGUCUACCCAGGAAGUUCAAGGCCAGGCCAAAAUAUAUACUGAGGCCUUGACUAGUAAAACUAAACUAAAACCAUGCAAAAGAAUAAAAAUGAAAUUCCAAAAUAAAAAAUUUGCUACAUUUUCAGAAAAGAAGCUGUACGUAUUAGCAGUAAUAAGCAGUGAGAAGCAAUUUGAGAAGAAAAAGAACAGUGGCUUUACUAGCUAAAGGGAACAAUGUUUACAUUUUCUAUGAAAAGAUUAGCAUUAAUCUCACUUGAAAUUUAUAUUAUUAUUAUUGUUGUUGUUGUUAUUAUUUUAGACCAGAGUACUAAAGAAAAGGUAUAAAUGUAUUAUUAUUAUUUUAGACCAGAGUACUGAAGAAAAGGUAUAAACGUGAGCUCACACACUAGUCAGGCAGAACCUUCACUGAUGCACAGGACUUCAGGCUUCCAAACUGUCCUGGGAUGCUCAAAACCCAGGCUGCUAGCCCGAAGCACAGGAGUCAAAGCAUCUACUCUCUGCUCGCUCUAAUCGCCCAGUGUGUCAGGAGACAGAAGCCGAUGCCGAGGCUGCUGAGAGCUCGCCACUCAGGGAGCCCAGGAGCAGCGUCAACGGUGGUUACUGCUGGGUUCCUGUUUAUUAACCCAGUCAGUCUCUCUAACAGGACACUCACCUUUGCUAGCUGUUCAGCAAAAUGUAUAGCAGUCUGCGUGUGGAGUGUGACUGAUCCUGUUUUUAUUCUGGAAAUUCCAUUGGCUAGCGCCAUGAAAAUAAUCAGCUAUCAAAAAAGAACAAAGAAGAAAGAAAAUCUCAAAAAUAUGCUAAUACUCAGAUUUACAAAUUCUACAACCACUCACAGGAAAAUGCUACUAGAAAUCAAAAUAGCUUUUAAAAGAAAUUAAAAGAAUAAUUCCUAUUUUCUUUAUGUUUCUAGAAGCUUUACACAGUAACAGAGAGUAUGUAUGUGUUAACCACAGUCUGUGGCUUGGUAAAUGCUUAGCCAGACUGACUUCUUUUCUUUAGUUUUUUGGUUUUUUUGUUUGUUUGGU